AUUGAACGCUGGCGGCAGGCCUAACACAUGCAAGUCGAGCGGUAGCACAGAGAGCUUGCUCUCGGGUGACGAGCGGCGGACGGGUGAGUAAUGUCUGGGAAACUGCCUGAUGGAGGGGGAUAACUACUGGAAACGGUAGCUAAUACCGCAUAACGUCGCAAGACCAAAGUGGGGGACCUUCGGGCCUCACACCAUCGGAUGUGCCCAGAUGGGAUUAGCUAGUAGGUGGGGUAAUGGCUCACCUAGGCGACGAUCCCUAGCUGGUCUGAGAGGAUGACCAGCCACACUGGAACUGAGACACGGUCCAGACUCCUACGGGAGGCAGCAGUGGGGAAUAUUGCACAAUGGGCGCAAGCCUGAUGCAGCCAUGCCGCGUGUAUGAAGAAGGCCUUCGGGUUGUAAAGUACUUUCAGCGGGGAGGAAGGCGGUGAAGUUAAUAGCUUCACCGAUUGACGUUACCCGCAGAAGAAGCACCGGCUAACUCCGUGCCAGCCGCCGCGGUAA
rnacentral:rRNA from 1 species